rnacentral:rRNA from 1 species
GUUUAUCAACGAGCCCAACCCCUAUCGUUAGUUACCAUCAUUAAGUUGGGGACUCUAGCGAGACUGCCUGCGACGAGCAGGAGGAAGGUGGGGACGACGUCAAGUCAUCAUGCCCCUUAUGGACUGGGCUACACACGUGCUACAAUGGGAAGUACAAAGAGUCGCAAGCCAGCGAUGGUUAGCCAAUCUCAAAAAGCUUCUCUCAGUUCGGAUUGGAGUCUGCAACUCGACUCCAUGAAGUUGGAAUCACUAGUAAUCGCGAAUCAGCAAUGUCGCGGUGAAUACGUUCUCGGGUCUUGUACACACCGCCCGUCACACCACGAGAGUUGGUUGCACCUGAAGUAGCAGGCCUAACCCUUCGGGGAGGGAUGUUCCUAAGGUGUGAUUAGCGAUUGGGGUGAAGUCGUAACAAGGUAACCG